UCUAGUGACGAUGGCAAAGAGGCCACACCCGUUCCCAUCCCGAACACGGAAGUUAAGCUCUUUUGCGCCGAUGGUAGUUGGGGGUCUCCCCCUGUGAGAGUAGGACGUCGCUGGGC
rnacentral:rRNA from 1 species